UGUUUGUGCUAAGUGUUGUUGAGUGUUUGUUUGUGUUUAGCGUUGUUGAUAUGUCUAGCAGGGACAGAGAUCCUCUUAUUCUUGGCCGCGUUGUUGGUGAUGUUCUUGACAAUUUUACAAGAACAAUUCCUAUGAGGAUUACCUAUUUAAACAAGGAUGUUAAUAAUGGCCGUGAGCUCAAACCUUCUGAAGUUCUGAACCAGCCUAGGGUUGAAAUUGGUGGUGAUGAUCUUAGGACAUUUUAUACUUUGGUAAUAAUUAAUAAGCCUUUGCUUUUUCCUUUUGCUUCUGCUGCUUCUGCUUCUACUUGUGGCUACUGCUUUCUAGGUCUUUUAUACGGUGGGCAUUUGCUGCCACUGUUUCAGGUAAUGGUUGAUCCUGAUGCACCGAGCCCAAGUGACCCCAGCCUUAGGGAGUAUUUGCAUUGGUAAGUGCUCUUUUCUAGAUCUCAAAAACACACACAUUAAAACAUACAUAUACUAUUAUUAUUAUUAUUAUUAACAAGGAAGAAAAUUUUCUAAUUCUCAUGAGAGUAUUAACUUAAUGUUCCGUUGAUCUUGAAUGAUUGUUUUAUUUUAAUUUGUUCCUUUCUUUCUUUCUUUCUUUCUUUUUGUCUCUUAAUUCACUGUGCCAUUGAUCACCUUGGAAUGACAUAAUAUUUUUAAGAGACUUAGCAUGCAGUUGAGGCAACACUAAAAAUCACUUUCGAUUUUCUCUCACUAUGAGUAAUCGGAAGCCAUAGCUAUAUAUCCCAUUUUGCUUCAUAUGUGAGCAGAUCAUGAAAGCGACAUAUUUGUUGGCUGUUUAUUUGUGAUUCAUUCAUUUAUAUAAUUUCAUCUUUUCAUUGACUGUUCGAUUGCAUGCAACUUUCAUCAAGAAACAACAAGUCAAGAAGGACCAAAUUAAACAACCUAAGUAUCUUUAUAUGUCAUACGAUUCUGGGAUAACAUUAUGGGGUCCUACACACAUGUAUCUAAUCAAUUAUAUUGGUAUAUAAUUUCUCAUCCUUUCUUCGCUCCCCCCCAACAACGAAAUUUUAUUAAAUAAAAAAAUACGACAUUUAGAAGGAACCUAAUUAAGCUUUACCUCAAAAAAAAAAAGAAAGGAAAAAACGCUAAAAAACAUCACGAACUUAUCAUCUUUUUUCUAUUGUUUUUUAAUAAUAAAUUUAUUUUAUAUCUACAUGGCGGUGAAUCCAUCAUCAAUUUUGUUCUCUUAUUUCCCAUAAAUUCCACCUCCCUCAUUUAUGCUUACCUCUGGUUUUCUUGAUUGUGAUGAUUACCUGCUGUACGGCCAAGGCGGAUGUACGGUACAGCAGAAAAGCUUAAUUUUUUUGCAAGAAUAUUGUUAGAACUUCACUUCCUUUUCUUUGGUUAUAGGAAGUAACUGAUCUUCAAGAGAUGUCCAGAGAUGAAAGGCUGUUUCCAUGCCUAUAUUGGAGCUCAACAAUUCUUCUGUCAUAAGUCCUAACAACCAAGACGUAAGCAAACUGUCGUUGCUUUCCCAUGAGAUCAAUUCGGGAUUUUCAGCAAUUUCUCCAUCUUUCUGUAAAAUUUUCUCUUGUGGCUUUUCAGACAAAAGAAUAUGGUGGGAUAAUCCGAGGCUUCGAAUGAGGGGUAGGAUUUGAGAUCGCCACAGAAGAAAAUUUGUAGAGUUAAGUCUCACGGAGACAAGGCUGGAACAUUGGUGGAAAGGCUUGGCUGUUUCGGGUUGGCUCUUUAGGAAGAGAUGACGAAGAAGAAGAGGAGGUUGCACCAGGAGCCAUAACGUGCUCUGAUACCAUGAAAAGGAAUAUUAUGCUGACAAUUUUUUUCUUGAUGUGUAUAAAAACGAGAGAGCUACAAACUUAUAUACAAGUAUCAAAGUCAGCCAAAUCUUUUAGUGUAAAGACUAGACAGGCUGUCUUAUGUAUGUCUAGAUAUCAUUUGUGCAUAAGGAAUAUUAAUAUUAUCAAGUGAUACUAGCUUAGAAUAAAGAUUGUGUCUAGCAUACAGGGGUCAUUGAUGCCAAAUCUUGGAGAUGCUCAUCUUUAUUGUGAUUUUGUCGAGAUAUUUGCCGCUAGCUAAUAAUAUUCGGUGAGCUGUAGUUACUGAUUGUAUGGUUUAUCACAUAUAAAUACAAUAAAUUUCUGUUGUUUGUUUCAAUCGGAAUACAGAAAGAUAAACAGGUCCACUUCACUUUAUGUUUGAGUCAUCAACAUUCGAUCCAGCGAGGAAUCAAAGGUAGGAAACUUACAAGCAAGAAAAGAACUAAUCAAUAUAAAGUGAGAUUCUUUCUAUGAGUGGUGCUAAAAAUAAAAGCGGCACCACAGAAAAGUUAUAUAAAUAGCUUCACACAACUCGUAAUUCAUCAUCCAUCCUACCAACAAAAUUUCAUCACUUGAAUAGUCUUACAACUACUUUUGUAGGCUGUGUGUGCGUGUAUUUGUUUGUGCUAAGUGUUGUUGAGUGUUUGUUUGUGUUUAGCGUUGUUGAUAUGUCUAGCAGGGACAGAGAUCCUCUUAUUCUUGGCCGCGUUGUUGGUGAUGUUCUUGACAAUUUUACAAGAACAAUUCCUAUGAGGAUUACCUAUUUAAACAAGGAUGUUAAUAAUGGCCGUGAGCUCAAACCUUCUGAAGUUCUGAACCAGCCUAGGGUUGAAAUUGGUGGUGAUGAUCUUAGGACAUUUUAUACUUUGGUAAUAAUUAAAUAAGCCUUUGCUUUUGCCUUUUGCUUCUGCUUCUGCUUUUGCUUCUACUUGUGCUACUGCUUUCUAGGUCUUUUAUACGGUGAGCAUUUGCUGCCACUGUUUCAGGUAAUGGUUGAUCCUGAUGCACCAAGCCCAAGUGACCCCAGCCUUAGGGAGUAUUUGCAUUGGUAAGUGCUCUUUUCUAGAUCUCAAAAACACACACAUU
rnacentral:lncRNA from 1 species